UAGCUCAGUGGUAGAGCACAUGCUUAGCAUGCAUGAGGUCCUGGGCUCAAUACCCAG
rnacentral:tRNA from 1 species